AAUGUGAGGGGCCUAAAUGACAGGGCAAGGCGCGCGGCCGUCCGCGCAAUGUUUGGGCGUCUGAACUGCUCGAUUGUGUGCUUACAGGAGUCCAAACUCUCUGCUGUUUUUGACGCGGAUCGCGUGGAUAUUGUUGGAUCGCGUUUCGACAGGCACUCGUCUUUAGACGCUGAGGGCACUCGCGGAGGUGUUCUGUUGUGCUGGCGAUCA
rnacentral:rRNA from 1 species